rnacentral:tRNA from 1 species
AGCUCAGUGGUAGAGUGCUUGCCUAGCAAGCAUGAGACCCUGGGUUCCAUUCCCUG